rnacentral:rRNA from 1 species
GAUAGUUUGAUCCUGGCUCAGGAUGAACGCUAGCGGCAGGCUUAACACAUGCAAGUCGAGGGGUAGAGGAAGCUUGCUUCCUUGAGACCGGCGCACGGGUGCGUAACGCGUAUGCAACCUACCUUUUACAGAGGGAUAGCCCAGAGAAAUUUGGAUUAAUACCUCAUGGUAUAUAUCAUUCGCAUGUUUGAUAUAUUAAAGUUCCAACGGUAAAAGAUGGGCAUGCGUCCUAUUAGCUAGAUGGUAAGGUAACGGCUUACCAUGGCAACGAUAGGUAGGGGUCCUGAGAGGGAGAUCCCCCACACUGGUACUGAGACACGGACCAGACUCCUACGGGAGCAGCAGUGAGGAAUAUUGGACAAUGGGCGCAAGCCUGAUCCAGCCGUGCCGCGUGCAGGAAGAAGCAUCUAUGGUGUGUAAACUGCUUUUGUACGGGAAGAAACACUCCUUCGUGAAGGAGCUUGACGGUACCGUAAGAAUAAGGAUCGGCUAACUCCGUGCCAGCAGCCGCGGUAAUACGGAGGAUCCAAGCGUUAUCCGGAAUCAUUGGGUUUAAAGGGUCCGUAGGCGGUUUGGUAAGUCAGUGGUGAAAGCCCGCAGCUCAACUGUGGAACGGCCAUUGAUACUGCCAGACUUGAAUUACAAGGAAGUAACUAGAAUAUGUAGUGUAGCGGUGAAAUGCUUAGAUAUUACAUGGAAUACCAAUUGCGAAGGCAGGUUACUACUUGUGGAUUGACGCUGAUGGACGAAAGCGUGGGGAGCGAACAGGAUUAGAUACCCUGGUAGUCCACGCCGUAAACGAUGGAUACUAGCUGUUGGGGGCAACUUCAGUGGCUAAGCGAAAGUGAUAAGUUCCC